GAUGAACGCUGGCGGCGUGCUUAACACAUGCAAGUCGAACGAGAAGUGAAGACGGAAACCUUCGGGCGGAAGGCUUUAUUUCGAGUGGCGGACGGGAGAGUAACGCGUGGGUAACCUGCCUCAUACAGGGGGAUAACAGUUGGAAACGACUGUUAAUACCGCAUAAGGCCACAGCACCGCAUGGUGCGGGGGUAAAAACUCCGGUUGUAUGAGAUGGACCCGCGUUCGAUUGGCCAGUUGGCGGGGUAACGGCCCACCAAAGCGACGAUCGAUAGCCGAUCUGAGAGGAUGACCGGCCACAUUGGGACUGAGCCACGGCCCAAACUCCUACGGGAGGCAGCAGUGGGGAAUAUUGCACAAUGGGGGAAACCCUGAUGCAGCGACGCCGCGUGAGUGAAGAAGUAUUUCGGUAUGUAAAGCUCUAUCAGCAGGGAAGAAAAUGACGGUACCUGAGUAAGAAGCCCCGGCUAACUACGUG
rnacentral:rRNA from 1 species